GCUGACGUUUAAAACGGUGCCCCUUUCUCGCGGCGACGUCGCCUCCGACGGCGUGAUGCACAUACGCCGCGCCGGCGAGGUUGCUGUCCGUGACGCAAUACUCCGCGCCGAGUUCUCACGAGCGAGAGGGCCGGCGGGCGCGCGAAACGGACGUCAGCACGGGGAAGGACUCGCCCCAGGCGGAAGUGAGAGGGGAGAAGAUGGCGCGGGUGGUGCAGGCUGUCUAUUCCGUCCAUCUUGAGUUGGGCGCCUUCCUGGUUUGUCUGAACCACGCCCGUGAGCACCGAGCAGGAUGAGGGGCUGGAAGGACAGCUCAGUGGUUAGCGCCAGCUCCGCUUCCUGAAUGUAUGGCCCGGUGUCCAUGUGACCCCACGUUCCAGUGACUCAGUGAGGGCGACGCUGACGUUGUCUUCUCUUCCCCGCUGCGACUGAGCGACAACAUCAGGUGAGGUUUGUUUACAGCGCUGCAUAACCUAUAUGUAUUUAUGACCUCUGGACUGACCGUCUGCGACCUCAGUGUGCAUGUAUAGAGGUCGCUCACAGUCAUGUUACUCCCACCCCAUUCCUAUAGAUCCCCAUCCUGUAGAUCCGUUAUUCUAUAGAUCCCCCAUCCUAUAGAUCCCCCAUCCUGUACAUCCCCCAUCCUGUAGAUCCGUUAUCCUAUAGAUCCCCCAUCCUGUAGAUUCCCCCAUCCUGUAGAUCCUCCCAUCCUAUAGAUCCCCCAUCCUAUAGAUCCCC
rnacentral:lncRNA from 1 species